rnacentral:rRNA from 1 species
UACGAAGGGGGCGAGCGUUGUUCGGAUUUAUUGGGCGUAAAGAGCGUGUAGGCGGCCAGAUAGGUCUGUUGUGAAAACUCGAGGCUCAACCUCGAGACGCCGAUGGAAACCAUUUGGCUAGAGUCCGGAAGAGGAGAGUGGAAUUCCUGGUGUAGCGGUGAAAUGCGCAGAUAUCAGGAAGAACACCCGUGGCUAAGGCGGCUCUCUAGUACGGUACUGACGCUGAGACGCGAAAGCGUGGGGAGCGAACAGG